rnacentral:rRNA from 1 species
GAUGAACGCUGGCGGCGUGCCUAAUACAUGCAAGUCGAGCGAACAGACGAGGAGCUUGCUCCUCUGUCGUUAGCGGCGGACGGGUGAGUAACACGUGGAUAACCUACCUAUAAGACUGGGAUAACUUCGGGAAACCUGAGCUAAUACCGGAUAAUAUAUUGAACCGCAUGGUUCAAUAGUGAAAGACGGUUUUGCGGUCACUUAUAGAUGGAUCCGCGCCGCAUUAGCUAGUUGGUAAGGUAACGGCUUACCAAGGCAACGAUGCGUAGCCGACCUGAGAGGGUGAUAGGCCACACUGGAACUGAGACACGGUCCAGACUACUACGGGAGGCAGCAGUAGGGAAUCGUCCGCAAUGGGCGAAGGCCUGAAGGAGCAACGCCGAGUGAAUGAUGAAGGUCUUCGGAUCGUAAAACUCUGUUAUUAGGGAAGAACAAAUGUGUAAGUAACUAUGCACGUCUUGACGGUACCUAAUCAGAAAGCCACGGCUAACUACGUG